CCUACGGGUGGCAGCAGUAGGGAAUCUUCCACAAUGGGCGAAAGCCUGAUGGAGCAACGCCGCGUGGGUGAAGAAGGUCUUCGGAUCGUAAAACCCUGUUGUUAGAGAAGAAAGUGCGUGAGAGUAACUGUUCACGUUUCGACGGUAUCUAACCAGAAAGCCACGGCUAACUACGUGCCAGCAGCCGCGGUAAUACGUAGGUGGCAAGCGUUAUCCGGAUUUAUUGGGCGUAAAGGGAACGCAGGCGGUCUUUUAAGUCUGAUGUGAAAGCCUUCGGCUUAACCGGAGUAGUGCAUUGGAUACUGGGAGACUUGAGUGCAGAAGAGGAGAGUAGAACUCCAUGUGUAGCGGUGAAAUGCGUAGAGAUAUGGAAGAACACCAGUGGCGAAAGCGGCUCUCUGGACGGUAACUGACGCUGAGGUUCGAAAGCGUGGGUAGCAAACAGGAUUAGAUACCCUGGUAGUC
rnacentral:rRNA from 1 species